UUUUUUUUUUGGAAGAGGCGUGAAUUCCAGCAAAUGCAUCUCCUUCCCCUCCAUGUUCAAUUUGCAGCAGCCGAAUUAUAUGGCAGCUCCAUUUCCACUACUACAACAACAACAACAAUCUUUAUGAAAAAAACCCAAAAAAUCAUCUUCAACCACAACCCAAACAAAAUUCAUACCAACAAAUCUUAAAAUCAACCCCAAAAAAAUCCCCAAACUCAAUUCACGAAAGCACAUAAAUUUUGGUUGUUCCUCUUCACUUUCAUCUUUCAUUUUUUAAAAGUUCAGAUCCGUAACCUUCGUGUCAUGCUUGAGAAGGAAAAGUUUGGUACAUGUUUUAUUUCCUUCAUUAAUUUUCAGAUGCCAUGCAUGAAUGAACGAGAAAUUGAGAAGAAGGAAAAAUGGAAAUUCUGGAUCGGUCUUUUAAAGGAUGAGAUCGAGGUUGGAGUUUGAUUAACAAAUAAGAUAUGUUUCAUUCCAUACUCUAUAAUCAAUUCAGGUUCAGAUUCAUGAAUCUUGCGUCUCUUUUGAAAGAAUUUCAUCAUUGUUGUUGGAAGAAGAAGCAAGAGCGUCUGAACUAAAUGAAGGAGUGGUGGAUUCGUUUUGCAGCUGUACUCAGAGUAAGUUUUACGGAGAUAGUCGACAAUUUUUUCGGCGGUUGAGAAUUUUGAUUUGAAAGGAUUGAUUAUGCGAAGAAUUCAGAUUUGUUUGGGAAAAAAAUGAAGGAGAUUUAGGAGAAGAAGAAGAUGCAUUUGCAACA